GGGGAAUCCGACUGUUUA
rnacentral:ncRNA from 4 species